CCUACGGGCGGCAGCAGUGAGGAAUAUUGGUCAAUGGGCGUAAGCCUGAACCAGCCAAGUAGCGUGCGGGAUGACGGUCCUAUGGAUUGUAAACCUCUUUUAUAAGGGAAUAAACUGUGUCACGUGUCCCAUUUUGUAUGUACCGUAUGAAUAAGGACCGGCUAAUUCCGUGCCAGCAGCCGCGGUAAUACGGAGGAUCCGUGCGUUAUCCGGAUUUAUUGGGUUUAAAGGGUGCGUAGGCGGCCUGUUAAGUCAGCUGUGAAAGUCCGGGGCGUAACCAUGGCACUGCCGUGGAAACUGGGGGGCUUGAGUGGGUUUGAGGGAGGCGGAAUGCGUGGUGUAGCGGUGAAAUGCUUAGAUAUCACGCAGAACCCCGAUUGCGAAGGCAGCCUACC
rnacentral:rRNA from 1 species